GUAACAAGGUUUCUGUAGGUGAACCUGCAGAAGGAUCAUUAGUGAAAGUUUCGGGCCUGCCAUACGGACGCAAACACGUCUCUGGCGCCCAUCACUAUAUCCAUACCAACCCCUGUGCACUGUGAUGACGAAUGUCAUCGAACAAAAAAAAACUCGUAUGGUUGAAUGUACGUGAAAUUGUAGGUAUAGCCUACGAACUAUACACAACUUUCGACAACGGAUCUCUUGGUUCUCCCAUCGAUGAAGAACGCAGCGAAACGCGAUAGGUAAUGUGAAUUGCAGAAUUCCGUGAAUCAUCGAAUCUUUGAACGCACCUUGCGCUCCAUGGUAUUCCGUGGAGCAUGCCUGUUUGAGUGCCGCGAAUUCUCCCUCCCCUUACGGUGGCCGAAAGGCCGAAGUAGGGCGGACGGGGUAGGAUGGGUGUUUGCUGCCUGGGGAUUGUACCAGGCUCGCCCGAAAUGCAUAAGCGCCAGGACCCUCGCUACCGCUCUCUAGGGAAGAGUGGCUAAGCGACCGCUGAGCAUGGCAUGAUACGUCAUUUGCUGUGUGUGGGCGGCCGGUUGGAGAGGUGUCUGCUUUACCAGCCCUAUUUUAAUUCUGGUCUCAAAUCAGGUAGGAUCACCCGCUGAACCUAAGCAUAUCA
rnacentral:misc_RNA from 1 species